rnacentral:piRNA from 1 species
CCAAGCACUAUCCGCAAAUGGUCUCCAGUG